rnacentral:rRNA from 1 species
GACGAACGCUGGCGGCGUGCCUAAUACAUGCAAGUAGAACGCUGAAGAGAGGAGCUUGCUCUUCUUGGAUGAGUUGCGAACGGGUGAGUAACGCGUAGGUAACCUGCCUUGUAGCGGGGGAUAACUAUUGGAAACGAUAGCUAAUACCGCAUAACAAUGGAUGACCCAUGUCAUUUAUUUGAAAGGGGCAAAUGCUCCACUACAAGAUGGACCUGCGUUGUAUUAGCUAGUAGGUGAGGUAACGGCUCACCUAGGCGACGAUACAUAGCCGACCUGAGAGGGUGAGUGGCCACCCUGGGACGGAGACACGGCACAGACUGACACGGGAGGCAGCCGUAGGGAAUCGUCGGCAAUGGGGGCAACCCUGACCGAGCAACGCCGCGUGAGUGAAGAAGGUCUUCGGAUCGUAAAGCUCUGUUGUAAGUCAAGAACGAGUGUGAGAGUGGAAAGUUCACACUGUGACGGUAGCUUACCAGAAAGGGACGGCUAACUACGUG